UGUGUCCACUCUCCCUGUCCCCCCUGUGUCCACUCUCCCUGUCCCCUGUGUCCACUCUCCCUGUCCCCUGUGUGUCCACUCUCCCUGUCCCCUGUGUCCACUCUCCCUGUCCCCUGUGUGUCCACUCUCCCUGUCCCUCGCGUGUCCACUCUCCCUGUCCCCCGUGUGUCCACUCUCCCUGUCCCCGUGUGUCCACACUCUCCCUGUCCCCCGUGUGUCCAUUCUCCCUGUCCCCCGUGUGUCCACACUCUCCCUGUCCCCCGUGUGUCCAUUCUCCCUGUCCCCCGUGUGUCCACUCUCCCUGUCCCCCGUGUGUCCACACUCUCCCUGUCCCCCGUGUGUCCACUCUCCCUGUCCCCGUGUGUCCACACUCUCCCUGUCCCCCGUGUGUCCACUCUCCCUGUCCCCCGUGUGUCCACUCUCCCUGUCCCCCGUGUGUCCACUCUCCCUGUCCCCCGUGUGUCCACUCUCCCUGUCCCCUGUGUCCACUCUCCCUGUCCCCUGUGUGUCCGCGGAGCAGGUUGGAGGGAGCAGAUUACGACGUGCCUGUGGUGUCCGACACUGUGGAGAUCUCAGAUUCCCUUUCCCAAACCCUCCUCCUGUCCUCCCCCUCUUCAUCAGCUUUGACAUCAGACACGCCACCUCUUUCCUCGAACCCGGCGUGCCCUCUGACCCCUGAGGGCGACGAGCUUGUCACCAUGGAAGCGGUGGAAUACGAGGAAGCGGCCGGUGAGGAGAUGGAGAAAGACCCGCUGUGCGACAGCGGCUACAUAGAGUUACACUACUACCAGUAUCACCAGUACCAGUAUUUGGUCCUGCCCGGCGACACCGAACUGGACCUGGAGACCGUGGAGAUCCUGCAGCUGGAUGCUGAAGCCCAAGAGGCAGCCGGGUCACUUUUGGAUCUGGCUGGGGGUGGACAUUAGACUAACGCACCGAUCUUAACCUGCGUGAUUAAUGCAGUGGGGUCCAGAUCGACCUGAAAUGGGACACGAGGAUGUUAUAAUGAAACCUGGGGAAUAUUAAUCGACAAUGAACCGGCUGCAGGGCAGGGUGGGGCUGGCGACACUGCUUGAAAGUUGAUGUGCUGUCGGGAGGUAAUACAAUGGUAGCAAUUGAACACUGUCGCUUGUGUACUGAAACACUGCCAGUCACAAAACACUGCCAUGGGUGUAAGAUAUUGGUAGAAAUGAGAGAGGGAAAAAGAUCUGUGCUGUAUCAGUAUGGUGAUUCUAAGAAUCAAGACCUUUAUGUUUUGGGAAAAUAUUGCAGGUGAAUUAUCAUACAAGUCUACUGCCUGUUCUUCUGUUUUCAGAUUAAAAGGACAAAGACUGUUCGGUUUCAUUCUAAAUCACUGAUCAUGAUUAACCUUUUUUUUAUUUUAGUUUUUUAUGUUUUAGACCUGGGGUGUCCAAACAGUUCCAUGGAGGGCCGUGAGUCUGCAUGUUUUUGGUUUUUCCUAUAAAUUGGUUCCCAGUUCACACCUACACAACCAGGUGAGGGUAGAAUCUAACCAAUUAGUAACCUAAUUAGUCGAUCAAGUACAAGGUGAGAGCACGGCCCGUGGAAUAGUUUGGACACCCCUUUUUUUAGACUCUUACCAGGUGCACCUUUCAUUAAACCGUUAUCCUUGUGGAGAAUCCUUGUUUUUUUAUUUUUAGAAUUAAAUUAGACAUUCACUCAUCAGUUUUUUUCCCCUUUUUUCCACCAACUUUCUUAACAAUAAAGCACCAAAC
ensembl:lncRNA